GAUGAACGCUGGCGGCGUGCCUAAUACAUGCAAGUCGAGCGAACAGACGAGGAGCUUGCUCCUCUGACGUUAGCGGCGGACGGGUGAGUAACACGUGGAUAACCUACCUAUAAGACUGGGAUAACUUCGGGAAACCGGAGCUAAUACCGGAUAAUAUAUUGAACCGCAAGGUUCAAUAGUGAAAGACGGUUUUGCUGUCACUUAUAGAUGGAUCCGCGCCGCAUUAGCUAGUUGGUAAGGUAACGGCUUACCAAGGCAACGCUGCGUAGCCGACCUGAGAGGGUGAUCGGCCACACUGGAACUGAGACACGGUCCAGACUCCUACGGGAGGCAGCAGUAGGGAAUCUUCCGCAAUGGGCGAAAGCCUGACGGGGCAACGCCGCGUGAGUGAUGAAGGUCUUCGGAUCGUAAAACUCUGUUAUUAGGGAAGAACAAAUGUGUAAGUAACUAUGCACGUCUUGACGGUACCUAAUCAGAAAGCCACGGCUAACUACGUG
rnacentral:rRNA from 1 species